CAAAAAGUGACUGUUUUUAUGGUCAUAAAGAAAGCGUGAAAGUGCCUUUUUCCAUUGGCAACAAAGACAAUGUGCUGAAGGAGGGAUUUAUGACAAUGAACUGAUUAUCCAACGAGGGAGAAGGAAUAAGAGUUAAUUUUGAUGCUACUGGGAGGCUUGGAAGCAGCUGAAACAACAAACUGUGUGCAGUUGUAUCCUUCCUAGGUUUGGUAUGCUCAUCACACUGAUAGACUUUAGGACGCUACUUUCUACAAUUAAUUAAGGUUGUUCAACAAAUGAGAGAGAAUUAAACUGCAAUUUGGUCAUACUGGAACAGUCAAUGUCUGCAUGGGUGUUGUUUUUCGUGGACUGUAUUCUUGAUUUGCUGUUUUCGUCUUCGCCUUGCAACAUUAUUCAGUUCAUUUUCAACACAUGAGUGAAAGCAACUGGACAUUUAUUUGAAUUUCACUGAAAUAAAGAAUUUUAUGCUACUACAGUAUUCCUCCUGGAGUUGGAUUGCUUUUCCCACCUGCAAACUUUGGAACAUUACAGUUUACAGUUAAUUAAGAUCGACGUUGGAGAAGACAAAGAUGACCCCCCAGUUAAAAU